rnacentral:rRNA from 1 species
CCCUUAGAUGAUUUGGGCUGCACGCGCGCUACACUGACCCUAACAAUGAGCAACUGUCUGGCCUGAGAUGGCUGGGUAGCCUUUUCAACCCAUGUCAUGAUUGGGCUAGAUUUUUGUAAGUCUUGAUCUCUAACGAGGAAUCCCUAGUAUGCGUGAAUCAUCAAUCCAUGCAGAUUAUGUCCCUGCCCUUUGUACACACCGCCCGUCGCUCCUACUGAUUGGGUGAUCCGGUGAGCUGUUCGGCCAUAGCAAUGUUUCUUGAGCAGGGCAUUGAAUGUUUCGCAAACCUUGCCACUUAGAGGAAGGAGAAGUCGUAACA